rnacentral:rRNA from 1 species
GACGAACGCUGGCGGCGUGCCUAAUACAUGCAAGUUGAGCGAUGAAGAUUGGUGCUUGCACCAAUUUGAAGAGCAGCGAACGGGUGAGUAACGCGUGGGGAAUCUGCCUUUGAGCGGGGGACAACAUUUGGAAACGAAUGCUAAUACCGCAUAACAACUUUAAACAUAAGUUUUAAGUUUGAAAGAUGCAAUUGCAUCACUCAAAGAUGAUCCCGCGUUGUAUUAGCUAGUUGGUGAGGUAAAGGCUCACCAAGGCGAUGAUACAUAGCCGACCUUAGAGGGUGAUCGGCCACAUUGGGACUGAGACACGGCCCAAACUCCUACGGGAGGCAGCAGUAGGGAAUCUUCGGCAAUGGACGAAAGUCUGACCGAGCAACGCCGCGUGAGUGAAGAAGGUUUUCGGAUCGUAAAACUCUGUUGGUAGAGAAGAACGUUGGUGAGAGUGGAAAGCUCAUCAAGUGACGGUAACUACCCAGAAAGGGACGGCUAACUACGUG